rnacentral:lncRNA from 1 species
CCCCUCUCUGCAGGACGGUGGACCUUCUGGAGCAUCUGUAGUGACCGAUCUGUGGUUCGCCCCAUCCCUGACGCCCCGAGGCUCGACUCACAAGCCUUCGACUUUACGACGGUGCAAAAGGGGUACACAUUGGGUGGAAACUCUUUUGAAUUUUGAACGUUGAAUUUGCCCCUUCCCUGGGCGGGGGAUAGGUGUCAGAUCCCCUCUCUUGGCGUGGCCAGUGCCGAGAGCCAGCCAAGCAGGCCCCAGGUCACAGGCCAGCAGCACGGGCGCUGGGUGCAGGUGUUCAAUACUUUCCGUGAAUUGCAGCAUUUUAUUGUGAGAGGCUGAGUCCUGAAUGUGCCCAGCUUCGGGCUACUGAGUAUGGUGGGCCUGGCUGCGCUGCUCCGGGGUCAGGCCUGCAGAAACUGAAGAUGCUUUCACUUGAUGAUGAGGUUAUUAUGGGCUGCACCCCAGCGUAGUCGAGGAGCAGGAGCCUUCUUGCCCCCUUGGUUAUGCACCUUGCAGUCGCUGGCUUGGUUCUGGGGUAUCUUGAACAUUGCAGUUGGUUGGUUGGUUUCUUAAGUCUUAUUGAGUCUGUGGGUCGACAGUCCCCACCCCACUCUGUCCUUGCAGAGGACACAUGGGGAAGAUUUGAGGUUCCUGAAUCCUGAAAUUGGGGACUAGAUUCUGUCCAGCGAUUCCUGGUGGUCCCUGGCGUGGGGAGGGCACCAAAGGCAUGCUCUGCAGCUUCCUGCUGGCUGGAGCCUGCCGGAGGUGUCUUUGAACGUGUGCUCCUGUCCCUCGCUCCUGCAGAAGGUCGGACCAGAGGCUCUGUCAGGUGCAGGUCAGAAGGGACACGUGGAGGGCCGUGUGCGUGUGUGUCCCCCGGUUAGCUGCCUGGACUGGAGCUCCACAUGUGCUGGCUCCUGGGGCUCGGGCUUGGAGACGUCUCACCCUGCCAGCCCAACUGACUCCUCUUAAGAUGCAAAUCCCCGAGAGCUGGCCCUGGCUGUGCCCGGUGCUCAUUCUUCUGUGGAGUGGGGAAGAUUUGAGGUCCCUGAAUCCUGAAAUUGGGGACUUAGACUCUCUCCAGCGAUUCCCUCAUCCCUAGUGAUCCCUGAGGACUGAAGCGGCCGCCUCAGGCCUGGGUCCCCCUCCCUAGCCGACCGUGCCUGGUCACCCUGCCUGCCCGGGGCUCUGCAGAGCUGGGCGCACCAUCCCGCAUUCUGGGGUUCCUCCAGGAGCCCCUCCUCAUGUCCCCGAGCUGCCCUGUCCCGGGAAGCCUUCCCCUCACAUGCACAUAAGCCGUCCUGGAGCAUGGAGCCUGUGACAGCUGUAUUCCAUUUCCCCAGAAGCGCCGAGUUCCAAAGGCGCAGGGGCUGGGCUUGGCCUCUCCAGCACCACCCGCAUCCCAUCUACCCCCCGUCUGGCCUGGUGCCCCCAGCAGAGCGCGUGCUGCACACUGCCGCCCAGAGCUGCCCAGAGCUGCCCAGAGCUGCCCGAGGGCCACAGGGGACAAUGGACAAUGGGUGGUACACAGCCAGGACGGAAGGAACUUGCUCGCUGGAGCCCACCUGCACAGUGGCCUUGCAAGGUCACCUGCUGCUGGCAUCCCUUGCAAUCCAUGACCAUGGCAUUGGUGGGGAUGUCCCCUGCUGGCCCCUGGGGGUGGACCACUGGGCCUGCCUCUCCAGGAGCCCCUCGCGCAGCAGGGGCUGGUAAGAGGCAGGGGAGGGA